GUGAGGAAUUUUCCGCAAUGGGCGAAAGCCUGACGGAGCAAUGCCGCGUGAAGGAUGAAGGCCUAUGGGUUGUAAACUUCUUUUCUCAGAAAAGAAUUAUGACGGUAUCUGAGGAAUAAGCAUCGGCUAACUCUGUGCCAGCAGCCGCGGUAAGACAGAGGAUGCAAGCGUUAUCCGGAAUGAUUGGGCGUAAAGCGUCUGUAGGUUGUUUAAAAAGUAUUCUGUCAAAGAUUAGGGCUUAACCCUAGAUAGGCAGAAUAAACUUUUAAGCUAGAGUUUGGUAGAGGCAGAGGGAAUUCCCGGUGGAGCGGUGAAAUGCGUAGAUAUCGGGAGGAACACCAAAGGCGAAGGCACUCUGCUGGGCCAAUACUAACACUGAGAGACGAAAGCGAGGGGAGCAAAUGGGAUUAGAUACCUUAGUAGUCC
rnacentral:rRNA from 1 species